rnacentral:lncRNA from 1 species
ACAUAGAGCUAUUAAGAUAAUAUAUUGAGACUAUAUAAAAAUGCUGACCACAGUGCCUGGCAGGUUAUGAUAUGAAGUGUUAUCAUCCCAUUCUUCCCAGAUGUUCCAGGAGAGUCCAGGGGGGUAAACUCUAUGCAGGAAAAACAUACCUGCUCUCUAGAAGGUUCUUGCUAAAACCAAAGUAGAUAGAUACCAUGGUAGUCAUACUUUACAUCAGACAGUGAAUAGUCUAAAGGAUUUGAACAGAGCCAUCUGAGGAGCUCAAGUUGCAGUUUAUUGUGGAACUGCUUUCAGAGGCUGGACAUUUAGAAAGGAAGCUACACAAAUGUUAAGGCCUCACAUUUACCCCAAGGCAAAUCACUUGGCCAUUUUCUGACUGGAUUGGUUUCCAUGGAAUAGAGAAGCUCUGUUUUAAUGUGUUCCAGCCAGUUUUCAGCCUACACAAUGAUUACAAUCAGAUCCAACCUGGUUUGAGUAGAAUUUGCCAGUAGAAUGUCAUGAGACUGCAGAGCCAAUUCUUUAUUACUUUAAUAAAUCUUAACAUAUGACAACUACAGUUUGAUCAAUAACUAGCAGUGUUUUUGUAAUUUUAACACAAAGAGCAAUGGAUUGUGUCUGGUAUGAUGUGUACUCACCAUUUUGAGGUCAUCCUGCUGAUUGAGCAUAAUUUCAUUCUCCCCACUGAUGUUCACCAAGGUUCUCUUUUGUGACUGGUUGGUUCUUUGACCAGGUAGAGAUGCCAGUGGAAGAGGCAGUCGUUGCUGGUUCUCUUUCCUUUCUGAGGACCAGAGGAGCAACUCCCUGUCUCCAUUCAGCUGGGCAAUUUCCUGAUCAAAGGAUCUAUGGAAGCUGUACACCUGUCUUCAGGAGAAUGUGCAACUUCAAAUAGACAAUGAAUUUGCAUAAAUGGACUCCUAGAUAACAACCCUUGCUAUAAAAACCAUUCUACUCCUAAAAGUAGCAAUGCAAACAAAGCUUUCAUUUGCAAUUACUAAGUGAAUGUAAAUAUGUCUUUUAUAGUAUUUGACAUGCUGUCUACACAAGUUGCUAUACUUUUCUCAAAACAUAUAUUUCGCAGUGCCCCCAUGACUUUGCUUCACCACUGCAGGGCAUCUCAGCACAGUUCAGUUUAGGAACUGCACCUCCAAGGCCAACCAUGAUGUCUGCAAUACAUGGAACCCUGGUGGAUUGAAUUAGGUCCUAUUUUAUUUGUGGAUCAUUAGAUAGAGAUUUAUCUCAUGUCUCAGUCUCACACAUAGCUUUUAUACAGAAUAUAUGUUUCUUUAAAUAUGUAGUAUUAGAAGAAUUAUUAUCACAAAGUCAAAGUUAACUGAAGACCAGAUAACAUUGGAUUGAUAUUGUCAAAUACUAUCCCAAGAUAGUUUAAAGUUUCAGUAUCAGAUUGCUUUACAUCCUUCUUAGUGAUACUGUAUCUUUGUAAAGCUGGGUUUUGACAGUUGCUGUGAUGAAAAUCAAUGUGUAAUAGGAAAUGAUGGUGGGGACUUCCAAUCAGAUUCCAAGAUUGGUUGAUUGAUUGAUUGAUUUU